rnacentral:pre_miRNA from 1 species
AAAAAGACAAACCCUGGGUUUUCGUGUCCAAUGUUUAACUGUCUGUCUUAUAUGAAAUUUUUUUAUAAUUAGUAUUUUCAUUGUUGUUAGAUGAUAAAACAUGAUUAAUACUUUAUGCGUGACUUAUCUUUUUAAUUUAUUUUAUAAUUUUUUUAAAUAAGACGGACGGUCAAACAUUGGACAUGGAAAUGAGGGUUUGUCUUUUU